rnacentral:rRNA from 1 species
GACGAACGCUGGCGGCGUGCUUAACACAUGCAAGUCGAACGUGAUUUUUGUGGAAAUUCUUUCGGGAAUGGAAAUGAAAUGAAAGUGGCGAACGGGUGAGUAACACGUGAGCAACCUACCUUACACAGGGGGAUAGCCGCUGGAAACGACGAUUAAUACCGCAUGAGACCACAGAAUCGCAUGAUAUAGGGGUCAAAGAUUUAUCGGUGUAAGAAGGGCUCGCGUCUGAUUAGCUAGUUGGAAGGGUAAAGGCCUACCAAGGCGACGAUCAGUAGCCGGUCUGAGAGGAUGAACGGCCACAUUGGAACUGAGACACGGUCCAAACUCCUACGGGAGGCAGCAGUGGGGAAUAUUGCACAAUGGGGGGAACCCUGAUGCAGCGACGCCGCGUGAGCGAAGAAGGUUUUCGAAUCGUAAAGCUCUGUCCUAUGAGAAGAUAAUGACGGUAUCAUAGGAGGAAGCCCCGGCUAAAUACGUG